AGAGAGAGACAUGCGCGCAUAUCAAUAAGCGGAGGAAAAGAAACUAACAAGGAUUCCCCUAGUAACGGCGAGUGAAGCGGGAAGAGCUCAAAUUUGAAAUCUUGAAGGGUUUCCCUUUACGAAUUGUAGUUUAAAGAAGUGUUUUCUGUUGAGGUUUUGGUAAAAGUUCUUUGGAAUAGGACAUCAUAGAGGGUGAGAAUCCCGUAUUUGACCUUUACUUUCAACUUUGUGAUACACUUUCAAAGAGUCGGAUUGUUUGGGAAUGCAGUCCAAAAUGGGUGGUAAAUUUCAUCUAAAGCUAAAUAUUGGCGAGAGACCGAUAGCGAACAAGUACCGUGAGGGAAAGAUGAAAAGAACUUUGAAAAGAGAGUUAAACAGUACGUGAAAUUGUCAAAAGGGAAGCGUUUGACACCAGUGUUGUUUUUCUGAAAAUCAAUUAAAGAACUGUUUAUGCUAAGUUGUUUAGACUUUAUCAGCUAACUGUUUAGUUUUGAGCUUUUCUUUAAUGCACUUUUCAGUUAACAAGUCAACAUCAAUUUCUUUUGCUGUAAAAAAGCUUGAGGAAGGUGGCUUGAGAUUCGUCUUAAGUGUUUAUAGCCUCUUGCCUAUGCAGUCGGAGAGAUUGAGGUCUGCAGCGUAGAUCCUUCGGGGCUAAAUGCAUUUGUGCUAAGUUAUAGCAUUUUAUAGACAACUUGUUGACUAUGAUUUGUCUUGUAGCUUACUCGCUUAUGUUAUUUUACCUACGCUUAGGAUGUUGAAGACUCUACAGAGAUA
rnacentral:rRNA from 1 species